UCGAACGAGCAGGUAACGGCAGGAUUUGCUCCGUUUUCAUUGUCGUGUUUAUCCUUCGAGGAAUGCGAUCGCAGGAAAUUAAUUAUUCAUUAAUAAACAAUUGAUCAAAAGUCGAUUAAUGUAACGAGAAACCAUGAUAAUAAUCUAAUUUGAAAUUUAAGGAAUAUUUCGUAAUAUAAAUAUAUUUGAUAACAUUAAAUAUGGCGACGGUGUAUCAUUGGUAUGUCAUCUUUAACCUCGGCCUUGCGACGUAUGUAUGCUUAGCGCGUUGUUGUGUUUAUGUUUAUACGCAGACGUCUUAUUAUCAUUCACGCGACGAAACUUUGCGUAUCGUCAUGUUACUUUUCGAAAUCAUGCGACAGAGAUCAUGUAUUAUCGUAAAUUAUUUAUUCACACUCUUGUAGUGUAAAAUCAUGUUAUUAAAAUCAUAAUGUUAUGUUCAAUGAUGAAAACGUAUGCAAUUAAUUAGCAAUAAUAGUAAAGAUAGUUUUGCCGCAACCAUAAUUACCUAUAUAACUUCUCAUUAUAAAAAGAGAGCAUAUACACUUUUACAUACAAUUUACAUUAAAGAAAUUUACAUUGAACACUAUCUUUACUCUCACCUUUCAUUCAACGUCGAACACAACUCAGAAAGUCAAAAAAAGCCAUCUGUAGAAAUAUGAAUUCUACGCCGCAGCAAGUUGCAUAUAAAAUUGGGAGCAUAAUUUUCGAGACUACUUCAUUCUUGCAUCGCAUUCUUGUUGCGAUGGAACAAAAUAUAGUACGCGUGUAAAUACAACAAAGUUUACGUCGGCAGUGCUGUGCAAAGUGUCGCGUCGCAAUGUAGUAAUCUGCUAAUUACCGUGUGCACGCGAUGAUCGUAAUUGACUGUUUUAGCGAGUGUUGUGAGUGUCAUAAAUAAGCGGCAAAGGAUAUAGGAGAGGAGAACGAGGCUUGGAGAGACAUUGGGCAACGGCGAAGCAACCCUAGCACAUAUUCAUUACCAAAUAUGAGAUGCACGACGAUGAUAUGUUACAAAAGGAUUUUUGCAAUGAAAACGCCUCGAGGGGCAUCGACUUGCAUUUCAUUUCUACCUGCUUUCCCCUGCCAUCAAAGAAUGCACAUUGCAACUAAAGAGCGCGCAUUUUUAAGAAGACCCCAAUGUUUUUCGGUUGAACAGUACCGUAGGAGAGCGGCGGGCGUGGAGAAGGGAAAAAAGGGCGUAGUAAGUCAUACGGAGAGGCUCGUACGUCAUACUUCAUCCGGGCCAACGGAGCAACACACAUGGAAAGGGCUCUCCCCAUAUUCGAGGAACGCAUUCACUUGGGCUCUUUAGGUCGCGCGGCUCGAUAGUGUGAGUGGCCUAUACGUUACGUGUGCCUGAAUAUUUCGUACACCUUUAUACACAUGGAGGAGAGAUCCCGAACCACUUGAUCACCGGUGUGCAACAUGCACGCCUAUACUCGACGCGUAUCCGUCACAUAAUCCUUUAAUAGAGUACGCAAAAAUUGAUUUUAAAAUACGUGUUGGUACGCAAAGGCAAGUCUGUAUGGAUGAACGCCCUUUUUUAUAUUGUAUUCUCUCCAUCAUAUAUUAUAUAUUGUAUUACAUU